CGGAUGAGUGAGAUAUGGAGGAGAAAAGUUUUGGGUUUUUCAAGCUUUUGUGUCAGAUCUAGGACGAUCCGAACGUUGGAUUGACGAUCCGAGACCACCUAUGAACUGAGGGAGAGGAGAGGAAUAUAAUGGUAUGAUCAGAUCCGGCAGAUGUCGCCAGCGACCGGCGGCCGGCCACUCUGCGCGGUGGUUCCGGGGGUGACUCCAGUGA
rnacentral:misc_RNA from 1 species